rnacentral:rRNA from 1 species
AUUGAACGCUGGCGGCAGGCCUAACACAUGCAAGUCGAACGAGUGGCGGACGGGUGAGUAAUGUCUGGGAAACUGCCUGAUGGAGGGGGAUAACUACUGGAAACGGUAGCUAAUACCGCAUACCAUCGGAUGUGCCCAGAUGGGAUUAGCUGGUAGGUGGGGUAACGGCUCACCUAGGCGACGACCCCUAGCUGGUCUGAGAGGAUGACCAGCCAAACGGGAACUGAGAAACGGUCCAGACCCCUACGGGAGGAAGAGUUGGGGAAUAUUGGAAAAUGGGCGAAAGCCUGAUGCAGCCAUGCCGCGUGUAUGAAGAAGGCCUUCGGGUUGUAAAGUACUUUCAGCGGGGAGGCGUUACCUGCAGAAGAAGCACCGGCUAACUCCGUGCCAGCAGCCGCGGUAAUAC